CAGAAACUCAAAUGAAUGACGGGGCCCGCACAAGCGGUGGAGUAUGUGGUUUAAUUCGAUGCAACGCGAAGAACCUUACCUGGUCUUGACAUCCCGGAGACCCUUAGGAAACUAGGGGGUGCUUCCAUCUGGAAGAAUCUGGAGACAGGUGCUGCAUGGCUGUCGUCAGCUCGUGUCGUGAGAUGUUGGGUUAAGUCCCGCAACGAGCGCAACCCUUGCCUUUAGUUGCCAGCAGUUCGGCUGGGCACUCUAAAGGGACUGCCGGUGUUAAACCGGAGGAAGGUGGGGAUGACGUCAAGUCCUCAUGGCCUUUAUGACCAGGGCUACACACGUACUACAAUGGCCGAUACAAAGGGCAGCGACACUGCGAGGUGAAGCCAAUCCCGUAAAAUCGGUCUCAGUCCGGAUUGGAGUCUGCAACUCGACUCCAUGAAGUUGGAAUCGCUAGUAAUCGUGGAUCAGCAUGCCACGGUGAAUACGUUCCCGGGCCUU
rnacentral:rRNA from 1 species